UACGUAGGGGGCGAGCGUUGUCCGGAUUUAUUGGGCGUAAAGAGCGUGUAGGCGGCCAGGUAGGUCUGCUGUGAAAACUCGAGGCUCAACCUCGAGACGUCGGCGGAAACCAUCUGGCUAGAGUCCGGAAGAGGAGAGUGGAAUUCCUGGUGUGAGCGGUGAAAUGCGCAGAUAUCAGGAAGAACACCCGUGGCUAAGGCGGCUCUCUAGUACGGUACUGACGCUGAGACGCGAAAGCGUGGGGAGCGAACAGG
rnacentral:rRNA from 1 species